rnacentral:rRNA from 1 species
UACGUAGGGUGCAAGCGUUGUCCGGAAUUAUUGGGCGUAAAGAGCUCGUAGGCGGUCUGUUACGUCGGCUGUGAAAACCUGGGGCUCAACUCCGGGCCUGCAGCCGAUACGGGCAGACUAGAGUUCGGCAGGGGAGACUGGAAUUUACGGUGUAGCAGUGAAAUGCGUAGAUAUCGUAAGGAAGACCAGUGGCGAAGGCGAGUCUCUGGACAGUUACUGACGCUGAGGCACGAAGGCUAGGGGAGCAAACGGG